rnacentral:rRNA from 1 species
CAGCCGCCGCGGUAAUACCGGCGGCCCGAGUGGUGGCCGCUAUUAUUGGGCCUAAAGCGUCCGUAGCCGGGCUGGUAAGUCCUCCGGGAAAUCUGGUCGCUUAACGAUCAGACUUCCGGAGGAUACUGCUGGCCUAGGGACCGGGAGAGGCCGAGGGUAUUCCCGGGGUAGGGGUGAAAUCCUGUAAUCCCGGGAGGACCACCUGUGGCGAAGGCGCUCGGCUGGAACGGGUCCGACGGUGAGGGACGAAGGCCAGGGGAGCGAACCGGAUUAGAUGCCCGGGUAGUCCUGGCUGUAAACGAUGCGGACUAGGUGUCGGGCAAGCUAAGGGCUUGUCCGGUGCCGCAGGGAAGCCGUUAAGUCCGCCGCCUGGGGAGUACGGCCGCAAGGCUGAAACUUAAAGGAAUUGGCGGG